AAUCAGAGUCCACAUAUGUUCGGGGGAGGGACCCCAGAAGGCGGCUGACAGUAUUCCUUUAGCCAGAAAUCCCUUCAGGGAAGAGAAAGGUGCUCCCCUUUGCCUGCUUUUAUACUACAGACUGUUUCCAACUCCAGCUAGAAGUGACUAUUGCCGAUUAUGCUAAUCAGUGGUGACAAGCUCCCUUUGACUGCUCACUUCUCCAGUGAGGCUUCAAGCUUCUAGGCAUCAAGAUUAGUAAGGCUGUCUUCUGGGUGGGCCAGUUUGUUUCUCAGUGACACGAAAACAUUGCCUGGGGUGUGCACUGGUAUUUUCCAGAAAAUAUUUCAAGCAGAAUAUACUUAUUUUCCAGUUUUGAAAACAACUAGAUUGCCCAUCUCCAUUUCUCUCUAUCAUCUACUGUAUUAUUCUAUGGACAACUGCCACCCUAAUAAGGUCAAGAAGGGAAGCCAGAAGUCAAGGCCACAGAAGACACAGGAAACAUCAUUUCCAAAGUGGGAGACAAAGCUGUUAACAGGAAAUUAUUUGUAAAGUCAAGAGCCAAGCAAAACAGAAAAAGGACAAGAAAUCUAUCACCUAUGGGUAUGAAUGGUUCUAGGGAAGUCUGUUGACAAUUGGAGGGUCUCAAAGGCACUUUAUGGUACUUAUUUUAUGACCCUGAGUCUGGAGUCUGAUGAAUUAAAGAGGAAAUUCUGCUCUGGGCAACAUUUAAGAGAUAGUAUCUCCAGGCAGUAACUUUCGUAUUAACUCUCAUAAGAUUGAUGCCAUUCUGUCAUCUAAAGUGUGGACAAAAAUAGCAUUAAAGCAAAAUGAAAGGAUAUA
rnacentral:lncRNA from 1 species